GAAAAAAAAAAGAACAUCACGACGGCACGACGUGCCGUGUCAAGCUAGGAUAGGAUAAGCAUGGUUCGCAUCGCACUCCUUUGGCUUUGGGCGUUCCUCCUGUUCCACGUGUAGCACCGUCGUGUGCCUCCCCUCCACGAUCGAAAUAGACCCGCCGGCAGCGCGGGUGCUACUCCCCUAGGGCUUGUCCAGUAGUGCAAGCGUGGGCUCGAGCCUCGUGCUCUGUCCCUCCCAGUCUCUCCGGCAAUUGGCAAAGAAUCCUCUCGCUUCCGCGGCACCCCAUUGGCAAGACUUGGAGCCGUGCGGCCGCGGACAGGCAAAAUCUUGGCGUGGGGAGUACGAAGAAUCGGAGCUUGCUUGGCAUCGUCAUGGAGGAUCCAUCCAACCCGAUCUGGGCGGCAACUGCCAGUGCCAGACAUGGAGGAACCAUCCAACCACCAUGCCCGAUGGAUCCGCAGCAGAAAGUCCGCAUCCCCGCAGAGAUCUCGUGAAUCCGAGGUAUGAUUUUCAUGGAUGGCGAUUCGAGCAAGGCAGGGAUUGCCGCAUCUGAGUAAGUGGAUGAACUGAAAUGCCUCUGCAUCAAGCCCGUCUAGCUCAGUUGGUAGAGCGCAAGGCUCUUAACCUUGUGGUCGUGGGUUCGAGCCCCACGGUGGGCGAUUCCUUUUCUUUUUGGGAAAACUACCAUCAUUCAGCCUGAAGUUUCUGACAGAAACGAAGCUCCUUUACAGAGCAAACAUCACUGCUCAUCCCGCCAUGUCAACCAUGGUGAACGAGGUCAGGAGCUACCUGACCCGAGAUCGAGAGAUCUUGUGUGCUACGGGCUACCGAUGCCCGUGGUCAAAGCAGGUUCGAGCCAUGUGAGCUCACUGUCCGUACCAUCGUUUAGUUGCUGAUGUUUGUGUUCGAACUAAGGUUCGAAAGAUGUGAGGUCGUGUUUGAACAAAAUCUCUUCAUGCUUGCGGAUGUUCGUGUAACUUUGGCGCUCUGCAAGUUGCUGGAAGCCUGGAAGGAUGCAGAACCGACUUUACAUUUUAUGACUGCCCUUCAUAUAAUUUCCGUUGCAUGAACCAUUGCCAUGCCUGGAAAGUUUCUUUUUUGUUAGUACUGCAUUUCUAAGAUUUAACUGCUCCGUUCUGCUGUAGUUACUCUCUGUAUAAACUUCGAACGUAGUAUCACCAUGUCAGGCCCGUCUAGCUCAGUUGGUAGAGCGCAAGGCCCUUGUGGCGUCGUGGGUUUCGAGCCCCACGGUGGGCGAUUUUCAUUUUUUUUCCAUCUUCGGGUUUGAGUUACUUAUUUUCUUUCCCUUCUCUGAAAAAAAAAACUACUAUCAUUUCAGCAUGAAGUCUCUCACAGAAACGAAGCUCCUUUCCAGAGCAAACCUCCCUAUUGGUCACACUAUGUGCAGCUAUGGUCAACGUUCUCAGGAGCUACCUGACUGGAGAUGGAGAGAUUUUGUAUGAUAUUCCCGUGCCAUCCUUUAGUUCAGCUCAUGUUUCAAUUAAAAUCUCUUCAUGCUUGCCGAUGUUCAUGUAACGACUUUACAUUUUAGUGACUACGAUUCAUGUAGGUUCUGUUGCAUGCACCAUUACCAUGCCUUGGGAGUACUACCUCCGUCCGGGUUUAUUAGGUCCGAGUAGUGAGAAGUAGUGUUGUAACGAGGUAUAUGUAAACUUAUGGUGGAGGCAUUCCUUGCCUUUCUUCUUUAAUAUAUAAUGUGCACAUUCGUGCAUAUUCGAGAAAAAUAAA